UGUCAAGCUGCUGUCACCUUACCUGAAGUAAGGAGUCCACGCCUGCAUGUCCGAGGAAAACAGUUUUCUCAAACACAUUAGUUGAAAAACUGAAGACACUGCCUAAAAUACAAGCUGAGUUAGAGACAGCCCUUGUAAGACUAGAAAAAGAAAUGAAAACUAAGUAACAUGAAUUAACAUAGUCCAGGGUCACAAAGCAAAAUGGAACAAGAACCUGGAUCUGAAUUCAGAGGCAGAAUGCUGGGCCUGAGAAUCAGGAGAGUCAAUGGUAUUAGUGCUGGUCCGGAAGCCAUCAUGCUUCAAAACCAAGAAGAGCUGAUUUUCCAGAUGGAGUCUAAAGGCUUGGUAUCAGGAUGAUGCCGGCCUCAUAAAAUGAGUUAGAGAGGAGUCCCUCUUUUUCCGUUGAUUGGAAUAGUUUCAGAAGGAAUGGUACCAGCUCCUCCUUGUACCUCUGGUAGAAUUCGGCUGUGAAUCCGUCUGGUCCUGG
rnacentral:antisense_RNA from 1 species